rnacentral:rRNA from 1 species
UACAGAGGUCUCAAGCGUUGUUCGGAUUCAUUGGGCGUAAAGGGUGCGUAGGCGGCGCGGUAAGUCGGGUGUGAAAUCUCGGAGCUUAACUCCGAAACUGCAUUCGAUACUGCCGUGCUUGAGGACUGGAGAGGAGACUGGAAUUUACGGUGUAGCGGUGAAAUGCGCAGAUAUCAGGAGGAACACCGGUGGCGAAGGCGGGUCUCUGGGCCGAUACUGACGCUGGAGGAGCGAAAGCGUGGGGAGCGAACAGG